ensembl:lncRNA
CUCGAGGCUUCCCGUCGAUCCUCUGUGCGCGGGCGCUCCUUGGUGGCCCCGCCCACUUCCUCCCCCUAUAUAAGGCGAAGACCACGUGUGUUCGGCCAUUUGUUGCUGGCUUCGGGAGGAGCAGCAGGUGCGAUCCUUCGCUUUCCUUUUAACGUGCUUCGCCGUUCGGAGGCCGCUGCUGGGAUGGUGUAGGCAGGGUGUGGACUGCAACUACCAUCGUCCCCAGCCGGCCGGGGAAGAUGGGGCCCGCUACCUCCAGCCCCCCAAAAGGGAGCUAGAAAUGGUCUCCAUUGCCUUCGGAGUAAGGGAGUUAGAUGUAGAGGGGGCUUCAUUGUCACUUUAAAUGGGGGAGGUGGGGGAACGACUUCCGAAGCAGCCCCUUUGCUUCCUGCUCACCUCAUUUCCCUCCUGCUUCUGCUUGACUUUUGUCAGAAUUGGCGGCGACGUCUUCUAGAAUAACGGAGUUGGAAGGGACCUUGGAGGUCGUCUAGCCUAACCCCCCUGCUCAAGCAGGAGAGACCGACACCAUUCUGAACAAAUGGCUGUCCGGUCUUUUCUUCCAAGACCUCCGUGAUGGAGCACCCACAACUUCUCAAGCCAAGCUGUUCCACUGGAUUGGAGUUAAGAAGCCUCCACCUGAUCAGAGGGACAUGAUGCUGGCUCUUCAACACAUGUUUAGAAUGAGCUCUGAAAGCAUCAUGGACGCAAUUGACGGGAACGAGAUGAGAUUUAGUUCUGAGAGGUUUCCAAGGAGUCUGGCUCCAUUCUUCCUUCAGGGACCUUCCUCUUCAGUUUCACUUCAGGGAGGCUCCAAUUCAGCAUCUCUUUGGGUCACCUGUGUUCUUUUCUUCAGCCUCCAUAUGCACUUUUGGAGAAUAAUCGCUUGGGAAAUGUGAUUUUGAGUGAACCAGGUUCUGAGCCUCCUUGAGAGCGCUGGCUUGGUUUGUGUUUUUUAAGCUCCUUUGUCAGCUGAGCGUAGUGGAGGGUAUUCAGGUCAUCCUCAAGUUAAGAAUGUAAUAGAGCCUGCCAAUUACAAUAGUAACACAUUCAUUUGUUUGAAUCACAUUAAAUGAAUGUGAUCACUCCCUGCUUUCCCCAGUGCAUUUGUUAAUCAAAUGUGCAGGUCAUUAAAUGCACAUGAGGUAUCUCAAGAGUGGGGAAGAGAUGUGGGGCCUCCAGUGGGAUUGGGGGUAUUGACCACGUAGCUUCUAAUGUUCGCUAAGGGAAUGCCAGGGAUUACCUACACGGAGCAGCAUAGUUGUCUGAAGAUAGAAGUGUCUCCAGGUGUAUUGCAAAUAUUGAAUCCUCCAGGUGCAGCUUUAAAAACCGCCCGAAAGAGAAACAGUGGCAGAUCUGUCCCUUACUCACCCGGCUUGGGUUUAUUGUCCUUCAAAUAUAAAUUCUGGAAUUAAAUCCAGUGUUCUAGUGAAAGCUGGCCAAUGCAAAAUGGAACAGAAAUAGGAUUAUGAAGAAGUUGCAAAUAAACGUUUUUCUCAAACCAGAAUGGCCUCUUUGUUUACAAUGAUUCCUGCAAGUUUUGAUUCUGCCCAGUGCUUCUCCUACCUGGGCUUCUUUCUAGGUAGGGGGAGGCUUUAAGAGGAGGGGUGGGCUUUGUAAUGGCUUCCAUGAAUGUGGCUGGCUCACAUGGUGCUGACUGCCCCUGCCCCCCAGGAUGGAAAUACGGAUGCUGCGUUUUUCUGUGCUCAGCACAGGCUUCCAGGGCCUGGACAGCUCAGUCCCUGAAAAGGGGGAGAGCAGGCACCUCCCAACAACAGCUUGUCCCUCCUUUGCCCCUAAAAUGCCUUCUGGCUGUAAGCAAGGAAUUUUCCAAGAGUCUUGACAAGCUCAUCCCCCAAUAGUUGGUUGGUUUAUUAGGUUUUUAUCCCGCCUUUUAUUAAUUUAUAACUAAUUCAAGCCAGCGAACAUACAUACUACAGGCAGUCCUCAAAAUGUACGACCACAGCUGAGCUGAAAAUUUAUGUUGCUAAGUGGAACAAGUGGGUUUUGCCCCAUUUUAUGAACUUUGCUACCAUUUGUGCAUCUAGCUUCCCUACUGGCUUUUACUUGUCAAAAGGUGGCAAAAGAAACCUGGGACACUGCGACAGUCAUAAAUGUAAGCCAAUGGCCAAGCACCUGAAUUUUGGCCACAUGACCAUAGGAGUGCUGCAGUGGUCAUUAAGUGUGGAAAAAGGAUCACAAGCCACUUUUCAGUGCUGCUGUAACUUUGGUCACUAAAGGAACCAGUUUAAAUUGGACUACCUGUCCUGCGCUCCUUCCUCUUCCUAUUUUGCCCACAACAGCCUGCCUAAUGUGCACCCUUGUGGGGGGAAGUGAGCUGAGCAGGUCUGAACACCUGAUUUUAACAGCUGGCACCAUUCCAGGUGCAGUCACAAAAGGAGUUUAAGCUCAAUCCUUCAGGGAUGGAGGAGAGCCCAUGAAUCCUCAUCAAAGGAUUGGGACGAGAUGGUGGUAUUCAGCUGGUUUUGAAUACUAAUAGAGUACUAAUACCACUCUAUAAGCCUUCAUAAGGCCACACCUAUAGUCCUGCAUCCAGUUUUGGUCACCACGCUAUAAAAAAAAGGUUGAGACUCCACAAAAAAUGCAGAAAAGAGCAACCAGGAUGAUGAGGGGACUGGAGGCGAAUGGUUGCAGGAACCGGGCCUGGCUAGUCUAGGGUAGAGAAGGACCAGGGGAGACAGGAGAGCAGCCUUCCAAUAUUUGUGGGGCUGUCACAGAAAGGAGGGGGGGGUCAAGCUAUUUUCCAAAGCACCUGAAGGUCAGACAAGGAAUAAUGGAUGGAAACCGAACAAGGAGAGAUUCAACCUGGAAAUAAGGACACUGAAGAGCAAUCCACCCAUGGAACAGAAGUUGCCUUUGGAGGUUGUGGGAGCUUCAUCUUUGGAAGCUUUCAAGAAGAGACUGGACUGCCCUCUGUCAGCAAUGGUGUAGGGUCUCCUGCUUGGGCAGGGGGUUGGACUAGAUGAUCUAGUUAAUCUGUAAGCUCUGAAAGUGGUCUCUUGUCAACAAUGGAUACCAUACACCGGGUUGUACUAUUUAGGGCCUGGUGAAUGGACUGCUAAUGAGCUGAAAGUGAGCCUGUCUCCUGAAGCCAAGGAAUCUUUACUUUUUCAGUUCACAGCAAGAAAUGAUGCUCAGUGAGACAAAACUCUGCCUUUGGCUUCAUCACACAAUACACUUAACCUGAUUGUUGGAUUCAGCCUUAUUUUGGGGGCUGAUACAAUGCGUUGCAUUCCAGUUAACUAAAGGAACUGAAAUCCGUAUGUUACAAAACGAGCUGUUUGAAGCCAGCCUGAGGAGUUGGCAGCAUGGAUCCCAUAAAGGAUAUCCAACCCUUCUGUUU